rnacentral:rRNA from 1 species
ACGAACGCUGGCGGCGUGCUUAACACCUGCCAGUCGAACGGGUCUGCCCUGUUUUUUGCGGGGUGGGUCAGUGGCGAACGGGUGAGUAACACGUGAGUAACCUGCCCCUCACUUCUGGAUAACCGCUUGAAAGGGUGGCUAAUACGGGGUGUUCUGGCUGUGCCGCAUGGUGUGGCUGGGAAAGAUUCACUUUUGUGGUGUUUUGGUGGGGGAUGGGCUCGCGGCCUAUCAGCUUGUUGGUGGGGUGAUGGCCUGCCAAGGCUUUGACGGGUAGCCGGCCUGAGAGGGUGGGCGGUCACACUGGGACUGAGAUACGGCCCAGACUCCUGCGGGAGGCAGCAGUGGGGGGUAUUGCACAAUGGGCGGAAGCCUGAUGCAGCGACGUCGCGUGAGGGAUGGAGGCCUUCGGGUUGUGAACCUCUUUCGCCGGUGAAGAAGGUCCUGCUCUUUGUGGUGGGGUUGACGGUAGCCGGGUUAUGAAGCGCCGGCUAACUACGUG